rnacentral:lncRNA from 10 species
CUCCACAAAGGACCAAAACAAUUAGAAAACAACACAUCAAAUAGAGUGUAUAGGAGAAAACACUGGAAUUCAGCAAGAAAGUGAUAAAGACCUUCUGAUGCACAGAGACUGGAGAUGGCAGCAUAAAGAGGAAAGUGAAGAGCCUGGCUGGGAUCGGCUCAUCCCAAGAGACACUCCUCACCACACAGAAAGAGAUCCUAGAUUUGAAGGGGCGCCACCAGGAAGACGUUUGUGGGUAGGACACGUCUGUGGUGUAUUCAGAGUGCUUGGAAAGGCAGCGUGUUGACCCACAACAGAGCAGGCGGUUGGGGUUGUUCUGCAUGGAGACACAGGGCUGGAAAACGCUAACAGAAGCAGCUAUGUCAGGUCACAUUGGAUCUGCUUGUGAGGCCCACCUGCUCUCCCCAGAAGCCUGAAGUAGGUGACCAUAACAUAUGGCAAGAAAAGAAAGCCUUUGCAGAUAUGAUUAUGUUCUCAAGAUGGGGAGAUCGUCCUGGAUUGUUCAGAUGGACCCUGAAUGCAAUCACACAUCACACAUAUUCUGUUACGAGAUGAGGAGGGAGAUUUUAGGGCACACAGAGGAGAAAGAGAUAUGAAGACAGAGCAGAGGGAGAUCAAAAAAUGUUGACCCUAAAUAUUGGAGUGAUGUGGCCACAAGCCAAUGAAUGCUGGCAGUCACCAGAAGCUGAGAGACAAGGAACCGGUUUCCUUAUGGAGCCACCAAGGGAGGGUGACAGUGCUGACACCCUGAUUUUGGCCCAUUGAUACUGACUGCAGACUUCUGGCUUCCAUAAUU